rnacentral:rRNA from 1 species
AUGGGGUUACCACCACUCAUAUGUCACUUCCUAUCAACUUCUUUUGUACCUGGCCCGAGUGGAGAUCCAGAGCACAUGUGUUCACCUCAUACACCUGAUUCCAGUUGGUCUCUUCUCAAACUGGGUUUCCCACAUUCAACGGUAAUAGUCGUCAAUUCUGGGGGAAGGAAUGUGAGAUAUACUUUAUUGUGUAUGGCUUUCAGCCUGAUCUUUGGGUUUGAAUUGCCAUCGUUCACUUCGUUGGUAACAUGGCUCGAUCGCUACAACUUCGUGAAUCAAAGAGUCGCGAGUUCACUUAGGAGGCCAUGUGCGCGGCUCUCCGCAACAAUUUUUUACCAUUAG